ACCCUGCUACACUAUUAUUAUAAUGCUGCAGUUCCUGUACUGGGACAACCCCACCCAUAAAGAAAGCAAGUCUUUCAUUAAUGAUGCCUGUGGUCCAAAAGCUCCGAUGUGUAUGUAUGUGCAGUGUUUGUGGUAGUCUGGAGCAGUGCAUACAUCAGCAGCCCAUCAGGGAUAGACGAGAAUGUCCUGCUAGCAAGGAAAGAGAGGACUUUGGAAGUAAACUCAACAUUUCUACUAAACUGAGGACAGGGAGUAAACUUUGCCACGCUCAGCUAUUUUCUCUCCUACUGUAACAUGGAUACAGAUGUGGAAUACUUCUGCUUUUAAACCUGCCAGCUUGGGAAGAUGAAGGACACUGAACAUACAAGUCCCACGCAAACUUAUUGAAGCUGGAAAAGCUUGGAAAACUUUAUCCUUUGGAAAAAAGUUAAGUUCUGCUAGCUCAAGCUGGUCUGACUCUUUAAGUGCACAACUGCAGCAUGAAGUGAAGAUGGAAGUCUGAGUUUGAUCAUGGGGAUCCAUGCUUGGUCACAUCACUAUGUUGCCUAGAAGAGGUUUAAGAGAGGUGGUCGAGUAGAGGACAUGGGCUGGAGACGCAGGUAUUGCCCUAGUCCUUUAUUUAUAGCUCUUAUUGUGGCAUUAUGUGUCUUCUAUCAGUGCCUCUCUGUGUUUUGGAAAAGCACACCAUGGAGCAAGGAAUGUGACAUUAGGAGAGGUUUUGGUCUCCUGGAGGUGGCCAAACAGAACAAGGAAUCUCUCUGUACGUGGAAUAGCGUAGUUACAAAGAUAACGGAUUAUGAAGACAAAUUUAAAAAGAAACUAUUUUCUAAUGCCAAGAGAAGAGUCCUAUUGCAUUUGUAUCACUCAAUUGGGAUUGAAGAGUUUCCCCUGUACAAGCGUGUCCUAACAAAACUGGGGUACAUAGUCCACCAGUUUGCAAAAAUUGACAACAUCAAAGCAUUUAUUACUCACAACCAAAAGCCUAUGGGAAGAGACGCUCUUAUGUACAUCCCUUCAAAUGAAAGUAUGGAGGCAAACUGCAAGGAAAAGCUGGAACUUGUUGAGUUUAUGCAAUUAACUAAGGAGAACCUACUGCCACAAAUGCAGCAGAUAUUAUGCAUAAAAGAUGAGAUUUGUCGGCUGGCGGCACACUUCCCAGAACUGCAGGAUCUCUCAGUUUGUGCACAUCAUUCCGAAGGAUCAUGGGAAAGAAAGAUAACCACAGCUAUUUUCAUGUCAGAUAACAGCAAAAACAAGUAUCAAUACCUAACCACUCAGGGCAUAAACCAGCUACUGGCGAGUCCGUAUAGAAAUGUGUACCAUCAUCGUGACCAUCGCCCAUUUCAAGACUUUCCAGUGAUUAGGACAUUUGUAGUCAUCACAUCUCUGUCACCACUUCGUGCUUUUCUUCACUCCAUGGCAAUGGUUCAGGCUGAGCCGAAGAAACAAUUUGUUCCAUUGCAGCUUCAGAAGUUUUAUCGACAAUUCUUCAAGUCAGAAUCUCCAUUACAAGACCUUAACGCCUUAAAGGAGAUGAUCAGCAAAUUGUUGCUCACCUUGGAGGUGAUAAGUGAAGCCGGACAAAAUUCACUAAACAGGUGCAGUGAAUGCUUUCAGCUCUUAACUUUUGACAUUGGAUACAGCAGUGCGUCUCCUCCUUCCGUGCUUGAGGUGAAAGAGCAACUUAUGUUGAAUGAUCUAAGUGUGGAUGGCUACACUACUAUGGAAACCAUAUUAGAAGAUAUAUUUAACUUUUUAUUACGCAACCACUCAUCUGGUAUUUUAGAAGCAAUAGAAAAAGUACAAAAUUGUCUUUCUCUGAAAAAUCCUUGCUGGAUGGACUCCAUUCUUGCAUUUACAUGGGAACAAAUGGAUAACUUAUGGUCUAUACUGCAGGAGCAAACAAAACUGGGAAGUUUUGAGAUGGUUUAUCCUUCCAAUUCUGCACAAAUAAAAGCAUUACGGCGUAACCUUUACUACAGAGCUGGCUAUAGGGAAAAUCUCGGAUCAGUCUUGGCAGUAUAUGAUCUUCUGCCUGAGUUAUGUGAAUGUCUGCAAUCCGUAGAAGAAAUUAAUUUGAGAAACAGAGAAAAAAUUCAAGACAAAGAAGAGAAUGAAUUGUCUGGUGUUUCAGGACGAGAUAUCAGGGUAUCAGUGACAAGAAAGUUGAUGAACUGCAGUGAUGAUAAUGAUACACUAUCUUACAUCAGUCGUAUCUUCAGCAAUCCUUCUCUGGACCUGACUCCUGAAUUCAACCCAAAGAUCAAAGACUACUAUGCAGAGCUGCCAUUUGAUGUAGUGACAGUGGAAAUUGGAGCAGAGCCGAUAAACUGCAAAAGCCAAGUGCACCUGGAUGACAAGAUUGGACCACGAGUUGCAAACUACCCACUUGGACUUGGAACAAAUCAGAUCACUUUACAUGUUACAGAUGGAUCUUCAAAAGCACCAGUAUUAUUAAGGAGCUAUAGAAUUAAUAUUUAUCGGGAAGAUCGUCCAAGUCUACCUUUAUAUGACCACUACAAAAUGUGUGGCUUUCUACAGGACUGUGGUUUGAUUAUUUAUGCGGAUGAGCCAUGUGGGUUACAGGCCAUUCCAAAUGAAACAAUUUCUGGCCUUUCUUAUGCGUCUCAAAGAAAGUGUGAGACUGGAGAUGCUAAAGGUUAUUGGUUGGUUCCUUGUUUGAGCUGCUCGGACAAUCGGACAUGUGACUGGAGGGCAAUAUCAUGGCAGCCGUAUCAAUGUUACCAUCCGGUCUUACAGAAUCAUGAGCUACAGCAGUGUCUGGCAGAUAGAAAGAUUAUAUUCAUUGGAGAUUCCACAAACAGAGGGAUGAUGUAUUAUCUGAUGGAAAGGGUAAAUCGAAGCCUACAAGAGUGGCAGAAGACCCAUGACUUGAAGCUCUUUAAUAAUAUAAAUGGUGGAAGGACAAGUAUAAGUUACUCCUACUACCCACAGUUCUGGAUCGACAUCAGAAAACGACCAACUUUUGAAGAAGCACUGAUACGACUCAUUAAAAGAUCACGUCCUCUCCAGAACACAAAUCAGACCAUACUUGUUGUAGGUGGAGUGCAAUGGCUGAACCCGGAUCAUCUGCAGAUUAUUCAGAGAGUAUUGAAGAGAGAAAACCUGUUGGAUAUAUUGGUAAUUAUAAAGUCUAUUGGGAUGGGUUUUCAUCUUCCAGUGCAUGGAAUCCGUUCACUGUCACCAGUCCAGGUGAGCCAUUUAUCUGAUGAAAAUAGUCUGAUCCUGAAGACAGCUAAACUAUAUGGCUAUGAAGUAGUCGACACAUUUAGUAUUACUAUGGGACGCUACAAAGAAUUCCUGCAAGGGAAAUGUGGAUGUCACUUUCAUGAGGUUGUGAAAUCCAAGCAUGUAAAAGAAAAGAAAAUUAAAUUAUUAAAGAACUAUACAUUUGGAGGCAAAAUAUUCCCCCAAGUUUAUGGCAAUUUGUCAUAUUUAAAAUCACUGUAUCAUGUUCAAGGUCCAGUGAAUCAAGUUUAUUCUGAAAUCCUCCUCAGCAGAAUGUGUACGUGAUGAAGAAACAGGACAAGCAUGAACCUUCCUCUGCAGGACACUUCCAUCACAAACUGGAUAGACCUCAUCCCCUGGAUGUCUUCACUAUCACUCUCCGUCCAACCUCUGCAGUUAGGAGGUCUCAUGAUUAAAAAUUAUUGUUUGAUGGAAAUCUGCUCCAUCCGUCAAAUGUUUAUGCUUCAAAAUACAAUAUAAAAGGGAAUCUUUCAGCAGUUUUAUGCUCCUAUAUGAGGGUAGCAUAAAUUGGUAACACAUGGCCUGAGCAAAAUGCUGGGUUACUUUCUUGAAUUCGCUCAGCCAUUUUGUUAAAACAACUUGAGCAUGACCGAGCACUGGAGUUGACUAAAUACAGAGCAUGAGCUAGGUGUUCCUCACACUCAUGAGCUAGGUGUUCCUCACACUCAUGAGCUAGGUGUUCCUCACACUCAUGAGCUCUCGGCUCUCCUCUCCUACCACUGAUUUCUGGAGUAAGAUAGCUGUCAAUAAGCGGCAGAGAUAUGAGGAAAACUGGGACCUCAAGAACAGUGAUGGUCAGUUCACCAAACACAUGCGGGCUGCCAUCUUUAGUAAGGUAGACUCACCCG